rnacentral:lncRNA from 1 species
GCUGCUAUUGUGGAAGAGGAUGCAGAGGAAGAUUCUGACAACUUUGUCAUCCCUGGAGGGGUCUGCUAUAACUGGGUCGCUGUUGAUGUUCCAAUAGUCGUCCAUAAGUCAACGUAAUGUUCAUUUUGUUUAAAAACCCUUCUCACAUGCCAAAAGGAGGAGUGAUGACAUUGUUGGCUCAUAAAUACAAUGAUAUUUUCAUUCAAUAAAUUCAUGUUAAAUGUUUGUUUUUUCAAUUAUUUUCACUUUUUGUUUUUUG